rnacentral:rRNA from 1 species
GAUGAACGCUAGCUCCAGGCUUAACACAUGCAAGUCGAGGGACCGGCGCCCGGGUGAGUAACACGUAUCCCACCUUCCCUUUACUCGGGGAUAGCCUUUCGAAAGAAAGAUUAAUACCCGAUAUAAAGGAUGGGGAUGCGUUCCUUUAGGUUGUUGGUGAGGUAACGGCUCACCAAGCUUUCGAUGGAUAGGGGUUCUGAGAGGAAGGGCCCCCACAUUGGAACUGAGACACGGUCCAAACUGGUACGUGAGGCAGCAGGGAGUAGUAUUGUUGAAUGAGCGCUAGCCUGAACCAGCCAAUUAGCGUGAAGGAUGAAGGGUUAUGAGACGUAAACUUGUGUGAUAUAAGAAUAGUUAUUAGAUGAAUAAGGACCGGCUAACUCCGUGCCAGCCGCCGCGGUAAUUC